rnacentral:rRNA from 1 species
UUAUUUGAAAUGGGGUACAACCCCUAAUACUGGGUUAAUCUAGUAUAUUAAAUAAAGUGGGCCUAAAAGCAGCCAUCUUCCAAAAAGCGUUAAAGCUUAACAUAUUAACAUCUACAAUUCCACAAUUUUUACUUAACCCUUCAUUACUACUGAACUAUUUUAUACCCCUAUAAAAGUCAUUAUGCUAGAACUAGUAACAAGAAAUUGCCCUUCUCCAAAAUGUAUGUUUAAACCAAAAUGGACACUCCACUGGUAGUUAACGUAAAUGUAAAAAUCAUAGUACCACACACUAGAAAACCCUAUGAUUCCACGUCAACCUUACACUAGAACAUUACAGGAAAGAUUAAAAGAGAAAGAAGGAACUCGGCAAACCACAGUCCCGCCUGUUUACCAAAAACACCGCCUCUUGCCCAAAUAUAAGAGGUCCAGCCUGCCCAGUGACAUAGUUUAACGGCCGCGGUACCCUAACCGUGCGAAGGUAGCAUAAUCACUUGUUCUUUAAAUAAGGACUCGUAUCAACGGCAUCACGAGGGCUGUACUGUCUCCUUUCUCCAAUCAGUGAAACUGAUCUCCCCGUGAAGAAGCGGGGAUUGACCU